rnacentral:rRNA from 1 species
ACAUGCCUACAUCAUAGAGUUAAUGAACUAGAUCCCAUUAGAACUCCACAGUUAAGCACACUCAUGCUAGAGUAGUACUGGGAUGGGUGACUUCUCGGGAAGUCCUAGUGUUUUACAUGCU